UUUUUUUUUUUUUUUUUUUUUUUGGCCACACCCAUGGCUCACGGAAGUUCCUCGGGGCCAGGGAUCAAAUCCAAGCCGCAACUGCGACCUACGCCACAGCUGCAGCAAUGCCAGACCCUUAACCCAAGCACCAAAGGGGAAACUCCUACCCAAGUUCUCCUUUGUCAACUGAAAGAAAGCUGAGGGCCAGGCAUGGUGCCCAAAGAUGGCCUGACACUGCGUGCUCACAAGCACGCACGCUAAUUGCUCUGAAUGCAUUUAGGAAUGCCAGGUGGCAAGAACAGUGGCUCCCCCUCACUAAACAGCCAAGAGCCAUGUAAUGCUCAAAGUGCCACUAAGCAAUCCUCUGGAUAGAAGCUUCCUUCUUGGUGAUUACCCUCCUACGCCAGCGAGGAUCCCCAGAGCCGAAGACUAGGAAUAGCUUAUACAGGAUACCAUCUGUCUUAAAAAAAAUAAAAAAAUAAAUUUAAAAAAGGGUUGUCUCUGAGUAUAAUAAAAAGUAUAAUCUAUAAGGAUCUUGAGAUGGGGUGGCAUAGGCCCCUAAAGCUUUCCCCACAGGUGGGUGCCCAGAACCGGAGGGGCUCCAUCUAGCUUUAGAAAAGGGUCUGGAGUUCCUGUCGUGGCGCAUCUUGUCAGAAGUUUUUUUCAGUGAUUUUUUUCCCCAAUGGAUGAAAUUUCAGAUUUAUCAGUUCUCUUUAUUGUCUAUUUUCUAUUGCAUUUAUUUCCUUUAUCUUUAUCAUUUCCUUUCUUUUUUUACUGAGUUUUAAUUUACUCUUUAUUCUAGUUUCAUAAGGUAGAAGCUUAAAUCAUUGAUUUUCAAACCUUUCCUCUUUUUCUAAUGUAGGCACUAGUUACAAUUUUCCUUUCAAGCAUUUCUUUAGCUAUACCCCUCAUAUUUUGAAAUCUGUAGCUAUAUAUCUACUAAAUAUAAUUAUCAUUUCCUAAUUCCUGCAAUAUUUUCUAAUUUGAUUCAUAGGUUAUUUGGAAGUGUGUUAAGUUACAAAUAUUAGUGGAUUUUACAGAUUUAUUGAUUUCUAAUGUAAUUUCAGUGUGGUCUGAUCAGAGAAUAUACUCUGUAUGAUAUGAACAUUUUUAAACUUAUUGAGGAAUUAUGUUACAGUACAAUGGGUUAAGGAUCCAGCAUUGUCACAGCAGCACCUUGGGUCACUACUGUGGCAUGGGUUUGAUCCCUGGCUGGGGAAAUUCCACUUGGGUACAGCCAAAAAUAAACAAACUUAUUGGAACAUGUUAUAUGGCCUCGUAUGUGCUCUUCUGUGAAUGCCAAGAUAAAUAUUUUAUAUGUACUUGAAAACAAUGUGUAUUUUGCAGUUGCCAUGUGGAGUGUUCUACAAAUACCAAUUAGGUUCCAUAAAUUGAUAGUGCUGUUCAAGUCCUUUAUACCUGGACUGCUUUUCUGUUUGUUUUGUAAAUUACUGAGAAAGGAGUGUUGAAGUCUCCAAAUAUACGUUUGUAUCUGUGUAUUUCUCCUUUCAGUCCUAUCCGUGUUUUCAUUCUGUACUGGGGAGCUUUUGUUGGAAAUACAUUGAAUGCUGUAUAUCUUCUUGAUGAG
rnacentral:lncRNA from 1 species